UAGCUUCGCAUGAAGUAGCAAUUAAAGGAGCAAUCCGCUAUGAGAUGGGCCCGCGGCGCAUUAGCUAGUUGGUGAGGUAACGGCUCACCAAGGCGACGAUGCGUAGCCGACCUGAGAGGGUGAUCGGCCACAUUGGGACUGAGACACGGCCCAGACUCCUACGGGAGGCAGCAGUGGGGAAUAUUGCACAAUGGGGGAAACCCUGAUGCAGCAACGCCGCGUGAGUGAUGACGGCCUUCGGGUUGUAAAGCUCUGUCUUCAGGGACGAUAAUGACGGUACCUGAGGAGGAAGCCACGGCUAACUACGUGCCAGCAGCCGCGGUAAUACGUAGGUGGCGAGCGUUGUCCGGAUUUACUGGGCGUAAAGGGAGCGUAGGCGGACUUUUAAGUGAGAUGUGAAACACCCGGGCUCAACUUGGGUGCUGCAUUUCAAACUGGAAGUCUAGAGUGCAGGAGAGGAGAAUGGAAUUCCUAGUGUAGCGGUGAAAUGCGUAGAGAUUAGGAGGAACACCAGUGGCGAAGGCGAUUCUCUGGACUGUAACUGACGCUGAGGCUCGAAAGCGUGGGGAGCAAACAAGAUUAGAUACCCUGGUAGUCCACGCCGUAAACGAUAAUAAAAGGGUAGGGGUUGUCAUGACAUAUGCGCCGCCGGUUACGCAUUAAGUAUUCCACUUGGGGAGAACGGUGCCACGAUUAUAACUCAAAGGAAUUGACGGGGGCCCGCACAAGCAGCUGAGCAUGUGGUUCAAUUAGAAUCAACCCGAAGAACAUUACUUAGACUCGACAUGUCCGUCAUUACCCUUAAUGGGGGAAGUUCUUUGGGGAUCACGCAGACAGCAAGAGCACGCUUGUCGUCAUCUCGUGUGAGUAGAGGCUGGGUUAAAUUCCCCAAGGAGCGCAUCCCCCUUUCAUAUUGGCUACCAAUUAUUUCAGCACUGAACCGAGACUUCCCCGGUUAACUAAGAGGAAGGGGGGGCAUAUGUCAAAUCAUCAUGCCCUCUAUAUGUUUAGGGAUACACAGGUGCAAUAAUAGCAAGUACAAAUAUACGCAAGACCGGGAGGUUGGAGCAAAACUCAAAAACUUGUCUCAGUUUGGAUCGUAGGUUGAAACUUACCUACAUGAAGAAGAAGUUCAUAGUAAUCGCGAAUCAGCAUGUGGCGGUGAACAAGUUCUCGUCCCUAGCACACACCGCCCUUCA
rnacentral:rRNA from 1 species